rnacentral:ribozyme from 1 species
GACGAAAGCAAAAAAAAGAAGAGAGAGAAAAAAAGAAAUUUUGAGACGAAUAAAAAAGUUUCAUGAUAAAUAGCGAUUUUCUUUUUCUUUUAAACCCUAUUUUUAAGAGCAAAAAUCCUUUGAAUAAGAAUGUUACAGGUGAAUGUUCUUAAGAAAA